rnacentral:rRNA from 1 species
GACGAACCGAGCGAACGUUGUUCGGAAUCACUGGGCUUAAAGGGCGCGUAGGCGGGCUGUCAAGUCUGGGGUGAAAUCCCGCGGCUCAACCGCGGAACUGCCUCAGAUACUGACGGCCUCGAGGGAGGUAGGGGCGAGCGGAACUAAUGGUGGAGCGGUGAAAUGCGUUGAUAUCAUUAGGAACUCCGGUGGCGAAGGCGGCUCGCUGGACCUUUUCUGACGCUGAGGCGCGAAAGCUAGGGGAGCAAACGGG